AUUGAACGCUGGCGGCAGGCCUAACACAUGCAAGUCGAGCGAGCGGCGGACGGGUGAGUAAUGGAUGGGGACUGCCCGAUAGAGGGGGAUAACUACUGGAAACGGUGGCUAAUACCGCAUACUAUCGGAUAACCCAUAUGGGAUUAGCUAGUAGGUGGGGUAAAGGCUUACCUAGGCGACGAUCUCUAGCUGGUCUGAGAGGAGGAUCAGCCAAACUGGGACUGAGAGACGGCCCAGACUCUUCCGGGGGCAGCCGUGGUGAAUAUUGCACUAUGGGCACAAGCCUAAUGCAGCCAUACCGCGUGUAUGAGGAAGGCCUUAGGGUUGUGAAGUACUUUCAGCGGGGUGGCGUUACCCGCAGAAGAAGCACCGGCUAACUCCGUGCCAGCAGCCGCGGUAAUAC
rnacentral:rRNA from 1 species